AUUAUCGCCGGAACUUGAGGGAGCUUAGGGUUUAUCCGAUUCCAAACAAAGCGUUAUCCGGCUAGAUUCCUUCCGAAAAGGGAGCGUGGUGGAAUUUGAGGAGGUUAAGCUUCCGCGGAGUAAUAUCUCCAGGAGGAUCCGUUGAUAAGAAACUUUAUUUCGUUUUCGUUUUCGUUUUGUUAAUUUAAUUUGUCGUUUAAUCUUCUCACUGGGAAAGUUCCAUGUAGAUUAAUUGGUGUCGGGAAAAUCAGGGUUGUUGAUUUGUUUGAUAAACAACUAUCUGGUAAGAUAAAUGCGGGUUAUGAUUGUUUAAUUUUUUUUGUCUUCUUUCAUCUUCUUCGCAGCCUCGGUGUUGUCUUGCUUUGAAGGCCUUCGAUUCCAAAUUCUUUCAGUACGCACCGAUCUAUGAAUAUCUAGGCUAGUUGGUUUCGUUACCUGCAGACACAAUUUCAAGUUACUACUGUUGACUACACUCCAAUCCCUUUAGAGCACGAGGAAGGUUCAAAGCCAUCUGCUCUAUGAUUCUAACUAUUCAAUUCAGGCAUCAACGUGGAGCAUAUUAUACUAAUGAAGAUGCAAGGUUUAAUUGUUUAAAUGAGUGCAUAGAGUUAGAUAUUUCUUGUACUUGGUACAAACUUUAGAUGUAAUGUAGUUUGUUUUUUCUUUUUUUUCAUGAUCGAUCAUGAACUAUUUGUUUAUAGUUUCUAAUUAUCAUAGGUUUAUGAUAUGUAUUAUUGUGGAAUUAUUAUUCAAUUAUUGUUUAGCAGAACUAA